GAUGAACGCUGACAGAAUGCUUAACACAUGCAAGUCAACUUGAAUUUGGGUUUUUAACUUAGGUUUGGGUGGCGGACGGGUGAGUAACGCGUAAAGAACUUGCCUCACAGCUAGGGACAACAUUUGGAAACGAAUGCUAAUACCUAAUAUUAUGAUAAUAGGGCAUCCUAUAAUUAUGAAAGCUAUAAGCGCUGUGAGAGAGCUUUGCGUCCCAUUAGCUAGUUGGAGAGGUAACGGCUCACCAAGGCGAUGAUGGGUAGCCGGCCUGAGAGGGUGAUCGGCCACAAGGGGACUGAGACACGGCCCUUACGCCUACGGGAGGCAGCAGUGGGGAAUAUUGGACAAUGGACCGAGAGUCUGAUCCAGCAAUUCUGUGUGCACGAUGAAGUUUUUCGGAAUGUAAAGUGCUUUCAGUUGGGAAGAAACAAAUGACGGUACCAACAGAAGAAGUGACGGCUAAAUACGUG
rnacentral:rRNA from 1 species